GAAAAUUCAUAUGUGAGAAUUGCACCUUAAAAUCUGGGACUGAGUAACAACACCUUAUAAACCAGUUGGCCUCAAUGGACAUUGCCUACACAGCAAGUUCCUCUAACUUCGUGCUCCAAGACAGGUCUCUCCUCCAGAGCUGACGGUGGAUUUACAGACCAAAGCAUGUCCCCAUGGAACUCUCACCUCCAGGGGCGUGCCUCGGAACUGCCAUCCUCCAGGGGUGACCUAGGAACUCAUACGCACCAGGACAGCACAUCGAAAGCAUGACCACUUGGCUACUUUUACAACUGAACUCUGCACAGGAAGGUGCCAACUCAACUGCCUGAGAGAGAUUUGGAUAUCCACCUUCCUGUUGACUUGCCCAGAUGUCUAUCACGGUGCCUUCCGUAUCCCAGGAGGACGUUGAACAUUGGCAGGCAUGCCUAGCUGAAAGCCGAUGCACCGAGGCCUGCUCCAUGCUAAGGCUGUAAUUCUUCACCCCAAGAAUCUUCAUUCUGGUCUUCAAGUAUUCAAGGCUUAUCCAAAGUUGCAUCAUCCAUCAUUAUUCUCGGGCAUAUUAAAGCCGUGACUUUGCUUGCCCUCAGGAAAUUAAACAUCUGUCAGUCACCAGGAGUCACAAUCCACAGAAGACAGUGAGUAGGAGGAUGCCACAGAACCCAUCGUGUUUCCUGCCGUAUUAAAGCAGGGCUGUGCUGUCAUCAGCCUGCGAUGUGCCAUUUAUUAUGCAGCACCCCAUCAUCUGGCUUCUGUCUCAACCAACAUACUGAAACUGCUUCAUAAAGUCAUCAGUGUAUUUUUAAUUGCCAAGUUGAUUGGACAUUUCACAGCCAUUAUUCCUGACUUUUAUAAGCAUUUGACAUGACUGAUCAUUCAUUUCUUGAAAUUCUGUUUUUUCCAGACGGCCGUGAUAAACACUCUGAACAUUGUUCUUGCGCUUUCACGGCUAUCCCAUUUCUUUUUUUUCUAAUGCCUUUUGUUCCUCCCCAUUCCUUGAGUAUGGGUGUUCCCCAGACCUGUUGCUUCAGUCGUGUGGUCUAAAUACAUACUUUCCCUAGGAACUGUAUUCUCUAAUGUAGAAGAAUAAUGUUCCUUUACUUAUGUAUGUUGUAUUGAUCAAGCUUUUAGUAUGACAACAUAUACUAUAUUAAGUUCUGAGGAUAAUAUCACAGGGAAAAAUCUCUGGCUUUAAGGAAUAUAUUGUCCAAUGGGAGAAACAUAAAAGCAAGCAAGCAAUUACAAGGCAAUGAACUACUGUGAUGAUGGGGAUGUACAGGGUUCAGGGCACACACAGGAGGAUAGCUAACUUACACUUGGGAAAUUAGAGAAGAUUCUCAUAGGAAAAAAAUCACCAAUGUGUCAUCAUAAUAAUAACAGAAGCAGUAGGGCAUUCCAAGCCAAGACAGCACUGUGCUUGAGGAGCUGUAAUUCAGCUACAUAGUUCAGUAGAUCAGCUAUUGAAUCAAGGACAAUAGGAGAGGUUGGGUCACACAGAUGCUGAACAAUCAACCUACUGGGAUGAAGGACAUUGUGUGCACCACUGCAGCCUUUGGUUCUCACGCCGACAGCCCUGAGGAUUCACAGACUUCAAAGAAGAGCAUGACUUAAUGUUUCAGAAGGUUUUUGGAAGCUCACUCCAUACAAAAGAAGGAUUAGAAGUAGGAUAUACAGUUAGCAAUCAGCACCCACGGGCUCUGCAUCCAUGGGUUCAACCACGUGCAGAUUGAAAAGGCAGUUAGGCCUAUGAUCAUUGCAUCUCUACUGAAAAAUGUACAGACUUGAUGUUAUUCCCCAAACGAUACAGUAAAACAACUGUUUCCAUAGCAUUUACAUCACGUUAGGUAUUAUAGGCAGUCUAGAGAUGGUUUAAGUACACGGAGUAUGUGUGUCAGUGACAUGCAAACAAGACACCGUUUUGUAUAAGGGACUUGAGCAUCUGUGGAUUUUGGUAAAAAAAUUCAUGGGGUUCCUGGAAGCAAUCCCUAGCAGAUACCAAGGGAUGACUGAAUUUGAGAUAAGAACAAUAUCUAAGAACUCUCCAGCUCAGUUUGAUAAAAUAUUACUUAAGCCUACUAUGUACCAAGCACUUUAAAGUGCUGAGUGUUAAAGGCUUGCUUAAGAGUAAUGUGUAUAGUAAAAUCCCAUUAAAUCAAAGCCAAACAUCAAAGAAAAACAAAAAAGAACUCUAAUGUUCUUUUAAGUAUGUGUGUAACCUAUGUUUAUACAUGUAGUAUUAUUCUGGAGUAAACUACUGUAACUGGGCUGGGUGUGGUGGCUCGGGCCCAUAAUCCUGGCACGUUGGGAGGCCAGGGCGGGUGGAUCACGAAGUCAAGAGAUCGAGACCAUCCUGGCCAACAUGGUGAAACCUGGUCUCUACUAAAAACACAAAAAUUAUCUGUGUGUGGUGGUGCACGCCUGUAGUCCCAGCUACUCGGGAGGCUGAGGCAGGAGAAUCGCUUGAACCUGGGAGGUGGAGGUUGCAGUGAGCUGAGAUUGUGCUGUUGCACUCCAGCCUGGGUGACAGAGUGAGACUCCAUCUCAAAAAAAAAAACUGCGUAACUCAGUUACCCAAACCAAAAAUGCUUCACUCUUUAGUUUCCUCUUCCUCAUAUCCAGUUAUCCCAUCUGUUCCAAUUCUAAAGGAGCCCUUGUAUACGCUUAUUUUUCUAUCUGCAUUGCCACCGUCCCAAUCUACACCACCACCACCUCUUGCCUAACCUCUGCCAUUAGUGUCUUAACUUGCUCUUGGGUUUCUAUGCUUCUUCCCCUAUGAGCUCUUCUCCACCUGGCAGACAGAAUAAUCUUCAUGUGAGUGAGUCCGACUGUAUCAUUCCGCACCUGAAAUCCUCCAAUGACUUCUCACUGCAUUUAAGAUGAAGUGAAACUCUGUCCCACGCCCUAUAAGGCCUCAUGUAAUCUGACCCUGCACACUUCUUUACUCUCUUCUUAUGCUGUUCUGCUCCACCCACUUCUCCAACUAUAUGCACUCAAUGAUUCAGCAGUUUUUAGAAUAGGCUGUGAUAUUCUCACAUAUUUCUAUCUAUAAGAUACAUACUUUUCACCGCCUCCACCGUUCCACCCUGAUCCAUAACACCACCAUUUCGUGACUGGCUACUCAAUUUCUUAUCUGGGCUUCCUGCUUCUGUUUUUCCGUACAGCAGCCAAAGUGACUCUGUCAAAAUGUAAACCAAAUUAUGUUGCUCUCCUGCUAAAAUCCUUCAAUAGCAUCUCAUCACAUUUAAAAUAAAAUUCAAUACCCUGACCCUAAUUAACCAAACCUCACAUACCUAACUGGCUCCUCCCUAGCCUCCGCUUCCUCCUGUGGCCCCCAUUCCACCUCGCCACAGCCACCUGGACUCCCCACUGUUCUUCCAACAUAGCAAUGCACCUAAGAUCCCCACUGCUCCCCUGCCAGGAGCCCUCUGUCCCGAGACAUCUUUGGGGCUCUUGCCUUCAUGUCAAUUUUCUAUUCAAAUAGCAUCUCCUUAAAAAGACCUUCCCUGGCCACUCCCACAUCCUUACACUUCCCCUAGUCACUACCUUUUUUUAAAAAAAAAGAACUUUAUUGAGGCUGGGCGUGGUGGCUCUCGCCUGUAAUCUCAGCACUUUGGGAGGCUGUGGCGGGCAGAUCACUUGAGGACAGGAGAUCAAGACCAGCUUGGCCAACAUGGUAAAAUCCCAUCUCUACUAAAAAUACAAAAAUUAGCCAAGCGCAGUAACGCACACCUGUAGUACCAGCUACUUGGGAGGCGGAGGCAGGAGAAUUGCUUGAACCAGGGAGGCAGAGGUUGCAGUGGGCCGAGAUCAUGCCACUGCACUCCAGCCUGGGCAACAGAGCAAGACACUGUCUCAAAAAGAAAAAUAAAAAAUAAAAAGACCUUUAUUGAGAUAUAAUUUACAUAUCAUAAAAUUCAUCUAAUUUUCAAUUCAAUGAUUUUAGUAUGAUUCAGUGAUUUUAGUAAACUUGCUUAGUCUGCAACCAUCACCAUAAUCCAGUUUUAGAACAUUUCCAUCUUUCCAGUAAGUUCCCUCAGGCCAGUCAGCAGUGAAUCCCCAUUCCCUCUCUCAGCCCUGGGUAAAUGAAACUGACCCAGUGGUCUCAUAGAUAUUUUCUGAUAAAUAUAGGAAUUGACCCUUCUAAUCUUAAAGCUUGAAACUUAUAUUUGUUUAAUCUGAGUUCCUCCCUCAGAAAAUGACCAUCAGGUCUCUCAAAAAAAAGUAUCAAACAACUGAAACUCACCAGAUCAUCACAUCCAGACAAUGAGAUGCCAGACCCCUCAUUCACCGUGAUGGCUUCCUUGCGUCUCCCUAGUUCCUGUUUUCUUACACACAGUUGCAUUUUUUUUCCCUGUUAUAUAAACUCCUGGUUUUAGCAGGUCAGGGAGGUGGAUUUGAGAGUGAGUUUCCAUCUCCUCAGCUGCAGCACCUGAUUAAAGAUUCUUCCUUGGCAAUACUCGUCGUCUCAAUCAUUGGCUUUCUGUGCAGCGAGUAGCAGGACCUUGACCGAACCCCUGGUGUUUCGGUAACAUAAACACUAAUCUACCUUCUUUUUCCAUAGAUUUGCCUUUUCUAAACAUCCCGUAUGAACAGAAUGGUUAAAAUAUGUGGUCUUUGAAACCUGUCUUCUUGAUAUAUUAUACUUAAAAUAAUGCGUUCAACUAAUUCUAUUGAACAUUCACUCUAUGCCAUAUAUAUAGUAAUAUUACAUAUAUAUAAUCCCAUGCUCUAGUGAGGAGAAUAGAGUGAACAAAUCAUCAUACAAACAAUGUCAAAUUUCAUGGAAGUUUCAUGAUGCUCUGGGAGCAUGGCUGGGAGUGGGGAAGGCUUGCCUGUGGAGCAGUAUUUGACUGUGACUGAAGAAUAGCAGUUAGCUAGGCAAAGGGCAAGUGUUUCAGAUAGAGGGGUCAGGACAUGCCUAAUAAUAGAAGGGAGUGUGUUUAACACGACUGCUGGAGAAAGUACUUGGCUGGAGCUCUGAGAGGGAAAGAAGGACGGUGGAGACAAGGCUUUCCCAUCACUUUCUAUCCCUGUAUGUAUGUUAUUUCACUAUUCUCUCAAAAGUUAUCACUAGCUGACAUUGCAGUGUGUAUAUACUGUUUGCAUCCUUCAUUACAACAUAAACUUAUUGAGAGUAUAAACUUCGAUUUGUUUUAUUACUAUUAUUCCAAUAUUUAGAAGAGGGUUUGACAUAAUAAGCAUUCAAUAAAUACUUGUUGAAUGAAAAAAUCGAAUAAGAGAUUGGGGAGCCCUAAUAAUUAACACAUUAAGAAUGCAGACAUUUGUUAAUUAGAAUAAAUUAAGUAGCUUCUGAGAGCCGUCUUACGCAACAUCUUAAUACAGCUAAGCUAUGUUCAGAUGAGAGGAAUUCGGUGAAAUAAUGAAUUUGGGGGGGAAAUACUAGCAGAUUUACUUUUUAACUAAUAAUAGACUGGAAAUAUUUAAAGUAUAAUGAACUACUUAACAUUGUUAUAUGUUAAUAACUUCUUUAAAUUGAUCAAUGAUUUUUAUUAGUGAUAUCUUUUGAAUACUAAUUUCAUUCUUUUUUGACCUCAUAGAUUAAUUUCAUAAAUGCAAUCAGCUGAAUGUAACUUAAUAAAGAUGUGGCUUCCAACAUUUAAAUGUUGUCAGGAAGAAAAACAAUGACUUUCUUAGUUAUUUUCAUAAAACAAGAUGACUUUCUGUGGAGUAAUUCUCAUAAGAGAGUAAGUACAGGGUGAAUAAAAUAUGCUAGAAACAUGUAUCUAUUUCAAAAGUAUAUUUAAAUAGGAUUUUUUUAAUAAUAAGCCACAUUUUAGGUCCAUGGAUUUCAAUACACUUUUUCUUUAGAAAAAAAAUCAAAUUUUUAUGACUUCAUUUAGUUUUAAUAAAAAUAUUUUAUUUAAUAAAAUUAUAUUGUAUAAGGUCAUUCAUACUAUAUUGAUGAUUGCUCCAAUUAUGAAACCUAGCCAAAUUUAGACAGGUUUCAAAUAAAUCAGUGCUUUUAAAAAAGUAAGCCCCAAUUGUACAUUGUGUUAUAAACUGAAAGUCUUAUGUUAUGGAAACAAAGAUGUUACUUCUCAAAAACAAUGUAAUUAUCAUUUCAAGGUGGCAAGUCAAUCUAGAAAUCAGAUUCCAUUGAGAUGCUGUAAAAGUUCUGUUUAUCACAAAAUAAGUCAACAGAUUCAAAAUCGUCUCUAAACAACAGAUCGAUAAAAAUGCCUAAAAAUAUCAUUUAAUUUAUUCCAAAGUAUUUCCUGAGGACAUUCUUUUCAGGAAAGGCUGCUUGCUUUAGGAUUCCAAACAAACGAAGCCCAGAAGCUUCCCGGAAAGCCCUGAAGGUGCUCCUGGAAGAAUGUGCUCUCUGCAGCUGUGUAAACAAUGAUGUUGACGCAGAAUUGGAAAUGCCCAUUUUUGAAAGGGACCUGCAACCAACCAUUUGAAACCAGCACGUUGCCUGAUAUUCCCACUAAAUGUCUAAUCAGUAAAUGUUAGUAAGAAAAAUAUUUUCCUCCAAAGGACAAGUUAGAGCUUUGUAUAGUGUCAGUAGUUAAAAGUUUUUCUGUAUAACCACAAAUCAUAUCGUCCCCAACUAUCAAAUCUACUUUUACCCCUUAGGGUCAUUCAGGAAGAAAAAUAAGCUCACCUUGGGGACGGACUAGUCACUGGAGGUAAAGAAGAGAAUGGAAUCUAGGGUGGCUCUUAGACUUACAGCUUGUAUUUAUAUGAGACUGCGCAUGGUAAAUAAGGUUUUAAGUGGCAUGUGUUAUAGUUGUCAAAUUUGUAGAAACAUACACAUUGAUGCAUUAUAAUUAUUCUGCCUUUAAACAAAGUGCUUAAUACCACAUUUAAAUUGCAAAUGUUGACUUCAAUCGAAUCUCCUGAUGUUAAUAAAAUAUUAGAAACUCUAUCAAAUAUAAUUCUUAUGAUUAUGAUAAUACAGUUUUUUAGAGGCCAAAUUUUCUUCAGUUCCAAGAAUCCUACAGCACGUGUAUGAGGAAUAUUUCUAUCUUAAUAGAUACCUUUGUGUCCAGCAGUAGAAAAGUAUCCACAUGCCACUUUGCAGUAAGUAUAAAAUAAAAAUAUAAAGAUGCAAACACUUCACACAAUGCAAUGUCCUUCCUUGAUUUUUUGUGAAGAAAACUAUACAUGUGUUUGUGGACUAGCUGUGUAUAUAAUCAGGUCCUAAUAUUAACAGAAAACAAAAGAACUGAGGUGCAAACAGGGAAAAGGGAAAACAGACAAUGCAAGAAAAAGUUGAGGAUGACAGAAGCAGGGAAGGCUGUCCAAAGUGACACAAAAGUGAUAGCAUGGCUCAGUGAGAAUGCUGAGAACUUCAGACUUUAAAAACAGAGAAAGCCUCUUCUGGAAGUAUACAACUUGAGUAUCUCUGAGAGUGUGUGGGUGAAUGUGUUUGUGUGUCAUGAUAGUGAAUGAGGAGAGUUCACACACAAAAAUUUGAAAUUAAUUGUUCCUAAAGUAUGUAUUAGCCUGCUAUUGCUGCCAUAAUAAAUUAACACAACACCUAUUUAUUAUCUCAUAGGUUCCAUGAGUUGGAAGUCUGAGUACAGCAUGGCUUGACUGGGUUCUCUAUAUAGGGGCACACAAGGUGCAAGUCAAGCUGUCAGCUGGCCUGGGCUCUUCUUUGGAGCCUCUGAGGGAGAACCUGCUUCCAGGCUCAUUUAGAUUGUUGGCAGAAUUCAGCUCCAUGUUGCUACAGGAGUGAGUGUUCUCAUGAUUUUGCCAGCUAUUGGCUCAGCUUUUGAAGGCACCCAUAUUCUGUGGCUUUUGGCCCCCUUUAUCUUAAAUGCCAGUAAUGACAUCUCCAACCUUUUCACUUAUAAUCUCUGAUUUUCUCUUCUACCCUCCUCUUCCGACGUUUAAAGAGCUCAUGAGAUUAGAUCCAGCUCACCUGCAUAAUCUAGGUUAAUCUCCCUAUCUUAAAGUCAACUGAGGAGUAACAUUAAUUACAUCUGCAAAGCCUGUUUGCCAUGUAACAUAACAGGAUGUAACGCUAGGUGGCUGAGAUCACGACGACCAAAGUUCUGCCUACCACAAGGUAGCAAUACAAUAUGUUAAAGAUAAAUCAGCAUGUUGGUCAAAGGAUGCAAAAUGCCAUCUAGACAGUAGGGACAGGUCUAAGAGAUCUAUUGUACCCCAUGGUGAUAUACUUUAAAAUUGCUGAAAGAGUAGGCUUUAAGUGGUCUCACCACAGAUAAAAAAAUAAGUAUGUGUUUAGCUAGAUUUAUCCAUUUCACAAUAUAUAUGUAUUUCAAAACCUCAUGUUAGGCCAGGUGCAGCGGUUCACAUCUGUAAUCCCAGGGCUUUUGGGAGGCCAAGGCAGGAGGAUUGCUGAGCCCAGGAGUUUGAGACCAGCCUGGGAAAUAUAGGGAGACUUCUAUAAGAGGGCUCUACAAAUAAAUAAAUAAUUCAGGCACGGUGGUGCAUGCCUGGAUGGCCCCAGCUACUUGGAAGGUUGAGACAGGAGAAUCGCUUAAGCCCAGCAAGCAGAGGCUGCAGUGAGCGGAGAUCAUGCCACUGCACUCCAGCCUCAUUGACAGAGCAAGACUCUGUCUCAAAAUAAAAAAAAAAAAAAGGAAAAACCACACACUGUGUUGAAUGCCAUAAAUGAUACAAUUAUUUGUCAAUUGCAGUAAAUAAAGCACAUAUGUAUUAAAAAAAGGCAAAUCAACAGUGCAAGAGAAGUGACUAAGAAGGGACACAAACAUAGAGGCAAGGUAGGACAGUGAAUAAGAAAGGGAAAAAGCAAGACUGACCUGGACUCAAGUGCUGCCUGGGCCACUUAUUAUCCAUGGGACUCUGAGCAAGUUAUGCAACUUCUGUGAGACAGUUUUCUCAUGUAUAAAUAAAGAAUAAUGAGAACUAUCUCACAGGACUAUUGAACACCGAACAAUAAAAGCUCAAGAAAUAAUAAAUAUUAUAUUGCUAGGUAUGCCUUCUGGUUGCCUGACUGCUCUUCACUGGAGGCACAAAGCUAUCUUUUACACUUUUGCUUAUAAUAUUCAGAGAACUGAAGCAUACUUUUAUUUGACUUGGAUUAUCUGGAUAAAUUGUCUUAGAUAGCUAUUUGGUUUGAAACGUAUAGAAAGAAUCAUUUUCUUACUUGUGGUUUUAUUGUUUCCUAGUCUCCUAAGAUCAUGGUAUGGUAAAAGAUCAACUAUAGAUAUGGGCAGCAUGAAGUAGCAAAUAAAAAUUGACUUGGAUAGAUUUAGAUUUCAGUUCUAGCAUACAAUUUUUUUCCCAGUAUGUUUGUAAAACUGACUUAUUUUCUGAGCCUCACACUUCAUAUCUUUAAGAUGGAAAUAACCAAGCCUCAGUGAGUGUAAAAUCUGUUAAUAUAUAUAAAAGCAUUUAUAGUCUUAAAAGUGCUAUAAAACACUGUUGUUAUGAUGUUGAUAAUGGUGGUGGCGAUGGUACACCUUAUCCAUGUAUCAAUAGUUGGGACUAAAGAAUACAAUUUUUCUUCGGCGGGGGACAGAAUUUCGCUCUUGUUGCCCAGGCUGGAGUGCAAUGGCUCAAUUGUGGCUCACUGCAACCUCUGCCUCCUGGGUUCUAGUGAUUCUCCUGCCUCAGCCUCCCGAGUAGCUGGGAUUACAGGCAUGUGCCACCACUCAUUUUGUAUUUUUAGUAGAGACAGGGUUUCUCCAUGUUGGUCAGGCUGGUCUCUAACUCCCGACCUCAGGUGAUCCGCCCUCCUCAGCCUCCCAAAGUGCUGGGAUUACAGGCAUUAGCCACCGCACCUGGCCCAGAAUACAAUAUUUAAAUUGAAAAAUUCACUGCAUUUAAGAGCAUACUCAAAACUGUGAAAGGAAAGAUGGACAUACUUGAAAAUAUUGCAACAGAAACUAUCCAAACUGAAGCAAGGUGAGAAAAAAAGACUAAAAAUAAGAUACAAAAUCAGUGAACAGUAGAAAAACAGCCAGCAAUCUAACAUACAUGCAAGUAGAGUCCAAGAGAAAGCAAGAGCAGGAUGGGGAGGAAGGAGGUAGGAAAAUACUUAAAAUAGCUAAACAUUUUACUGGUUUAAUGAAAGCUAUACACUCACCAAUCAGCUGACUAAAAUCAGGACAAACCACAAAGAGAAGCACCACAAGCUAUAUAAAAAUGAAACUACUGUAAACUAGUGAUGAAGAAAAAACUUUAAAACAACUGGAGAAAAAAUACAUACUACACACAGGGGAACAAAAAUGAGAAUGACUGAAGCUUAUCAGAAAUGAAGCAAAAACAAGGUGUUAGAAUUUUACUUUAAAAAUUUAAAAACUGUCAACCUAGAACUGUAAAUUCAGCAAACAGCAAAA